rnacentral:rRNA from 1 species
GACUUGCUCCCGGAUGUUAGCGGCGGACGGGUGAGUAACACGUGGGUAACCUGCCUGUAAGACUGGGAUAACUCCGGGAAACCGGAGCUAAUACCGGAUAGUUCCUUGAACCGCAUGGUUCAAGGAUGAAAGACGGUUUCGGCUGUCACUUACAGAUGGACCCGCGGCGCAUUAGCUAGUUGGUGGGGUAAUGGCUCACCAAGGCGACGAUGCGUAGCCGACCUGAGAGGGUGAUCGGCCACACUGGGACUGAGACACGGCCCAGACUCCUACGGGAGGCAGCAGUAGGGAAUCUUCCGCAAUGGACGAAAGUCUGACGGAGCAACGCCGCGUGAGUGAUGAAGGUUUUCGGAUCGUAAAGCUCUGUUGUUAGGGAAGAACAAGUGCGAGAGUAACUGCUCGCACCUUGACGGUACCUAACCAGAAAGCCACGGCUAACUACGUGCCAGCAGCCGCGGUAAUACGUAGGUGGCAAGCGUUGUCCGGAAUUAUUGGGCGUAAAGGGCUCGCAGGCGGUUUCUUAAGUCUGAUGUGAAAGCCCCCGGCUCAACCGGGGAGGGUCAUUGGAAACUGGGAAACUUGAGUGCAGAAGAGGAGAGUGGAAUUCCACGUGUAGCGGUGAAAUGCGUAGAGAUGUGGAGGAACACCAGUGGCGAAGGCGACUCUCUGGUCUGUAACUGACGCUGAGGAGCGAAAGCGUGGGGAGCGAACAGGA